AGCGAACGCUGGCGGCAGGCCUAACACAUGCAAGUCGAACGAACCUUUCGGGGCUAGUGGCGGACGGGUGAGUAACACGUGGGAACGUGCCUUUAGGUUCGGAAUAACUCAGGGAAACUUGUGCUAAUACCGAAUGUGCCCUUCGGGGGAAAGAUUUAUCGCCUUUAGAGCGGCCCGCGUCUGAUUAGCUAGUUGGUUGAGGUAAUGGCUCACCAAGGCGACGAUCAGUAGCUGGUCUGAGAGGAUGAUCAGCCACAUUGGGACUGAGACACGGCCCAAACUCCUACGGGAGGCAGCAGUGGGGAAUCUUGCGCAAUGGGCGAAAGCCUGACGCAGCCAUGCCGCGUGAAUGAUGAAGGUCUUAGGAUUGUAAAAUUCUUUCACCGGGGACGAUAAUGACGGUACCCGGAGAAGAAGCCCCGGCUAACUUCGUG
rnacentral:rRNA from 1 species